rnacentral:rRNA from 1 species
CGGACGGGUGAGUAACACGUGGAUAACCUACCUAUAAGACUGGGAUAACUUCGGGAAACCGGAGCUAAUACCGGAUAAUAUUUUGAACCGCAUGGUUCAAAAGUAAAAGACGGUCUUGCUGUCACUUAUAGAUGGAUCCGCGCUGCAUUAGCUAGUUGGUAAGGUAACGGCUUACCAAGGCAACGAUGCAUAGCCGACCUGAGAGGGUGAUCGGCCACACUGGAACUGAGACACGGUCCGG